CCUACGGGAGGCAGCAGUAGGGAAUAUUGCUCAAUGGGGGAAACCCUGAAGCAGCAACGCCGCGUGGAGGAUGAAGGUUUUCGGAUUGUAAACCCCUUUUUUUAGAGAAGAUAAUGACGGUAUCUAACGAAUAAGCACCGGCUAACUCCUUGCCCGCAGCCGCGGUAAUACGGAGGGUGCAAGCGUUACUCGGAAUCACUGGGCGUAAAGGGCGCGUAGGCGGGAUAGCAAGUCAGAUGUGAAAUCCUAUGGCUUAACCAUAGAACUGCAUUUGAAACUGUUAUUAUAGAGUAUGGGAGAGGUAGGUGGAAUUCUUGGUGUAGGGGUAAAAUCCGUAGAGAUCAAGAGGAAUACUCAUUGCGAAGGCGACCUGCUAGAACAUAACUGACGCUGAUGCGCGAAAGCGUGGGGAGCAAACAGGAUUAGAUACCCCAGUAGUC
rnacentral:rRNA from 1 species